AGAAUUACUAUGGACAUUUGUGGAACAUCUCUAUGGACCCUAUUGGAAUUGAAAUGAAACUGAAAAAAAUCCUCCUAAAAUCUGACAGAUCUCUAAGUGAUGACUCUGAGUGCUAUAUCUUGAGAGAGAACGAAUCCUUUGGAUGGAAAAACACACCUCCUACUGUGCCUGCAUCUACGUAUUUGUUGCAAUAAAACUUAAACUUCACCAAAGUCUCACAUCCCAGACAGCUUUCCUAGUUUCUCACUGCUGUUUCUAACGAACACACAGAUAUAUCCCACUGUGAAAAGGAAGGGGCCAUAGGGUCUUUUCUCAGAAGGAAGGCUCAGCUCAUGGACCCCAGCACAUGACCUCACUUCCUUGGUGACAGGUCCAAACAGAACUCGGAACAGUCUAGCGACGGCUGCCUAACAGUCACUUGGCUGAAGAGAGUCGGUAGCGAACAUGCUGUGCUGCUUUCCCAGGCCUCGAGGCCGCAGCCUCAAGACCCAGCACGGGAAAAGCACUUGGGAACGGGUGAGAGGAUGGAUCACUGGGUCCAGACGCUCCACACCAGUGGUCAGGAACCGCGUAGUCCUCAAGAGCAACCCAGGGCAGGUCUCCCUGGACAGCCUCCUCAUCUAUGAGCCCUCUGUCUCGGACCCCAGAAGGGUCUGCAUUUCCUCCCCACGGGAGGGGAUGGAGGAAAGCUCCAUAUCCCCUUUCCUUUGUCCCUUACUGGAGUGGCACACCCAGCUAUGUUAUACUGUCAGAGAUCUCCUGGACCAGGUGGAGUGAGAUGAGCUCACUGAGGCAGAGGCCAAGGGAGCAGCUCCAGUCCAAGCUGAAGUCCUAUCAGCAGAGCCUGUGCCAGCUCCACCUGCAGCUGCCUCCCCAGAGCGCCAGAGCCAGAGCGAGCACCAGAAAGCCCUUCUCCUCCAGCUGCACAGCUGGGGCAAAUGGUGGCUCCUCAGCAGGUGUCAACUCCUGACCUCCCCUUGGGGCCAGCUCCUGACCUCCCCUUGGGGCCAGCUCCUGACCUCCCCUUAGGGCCAGCUCCUGCCCCACACUGGCCAUUCCCCUCCAUUAUUGUUGCUCUUGUUCUUUCCUUGACUUUUGCACUUAUUUGGUGGAUUUACAUCAAUGAUAGAUCGAUUUUUAAAUAAAAUGUAAGAUUUUACUGUUGCUUAAUAUGAUCGGCUUGGUGGCAUGAAGUGCCUUCUCAGUGCGGUGAAC
rnacentral:lncRNA from 1 species